ensembl:lncRNA
GGAUUUUACCCUCGUCACAUCAACCUGACUCUGUUCAGAGAUGGGCAGCCUGUAUCUGAUCAUGAGAUCACUGGAGGAGAUCUGCUGCCCAAUGCUGACGGGACGUACCAGAUGAGGAAGAGUCUGGAGAUCAGUGCUGCAGACAAACACAAAUACACCUGCUCUGUCACACACCUCAGUCUGGACGACAAACUGGACAUUGAUUUGGAGUAUCCAGGGGAAACAUUUGAGGUGGUGGUUUUGGCAUUGGGAUUGGUGUUUUUGACUGUGGUUGCCAUUUUUAUAUCGAGGAGAAGGUAUCGUUCAGUUUCCUCUUCAAGUAACUACUCUUCUGCUUCUACAAGUGAAGAUGGCAUGAAUAAAACCUAAUUUGGUUUCUUGCAAAAACGUAUCAGGGAAUUGGUCUUUGUGAACUGCGGGACAACAACAAACCUGGACAAAUUAUUGCCAAGACUGUUUUUGAUGGCUCCACAACAGAAGAAGUGGGAUAUUUUGGUGGCAAGUAAAGGUCCUUUAAAAUACUCAGAUGAGAACACAAAUCCUUAUCUCCAGCUGUUUAUGUGGUAUCAUGAGAUGUUAUGCUUUCCAAACUGUAUAAAAACUCUCAAGACUUUGACAACAAACUGGACUGUCACUUUGGGUAAUGAGCUCUUACAAUUACAGAAAGGAUCUCAUAAAGUUUUAAUGAUCUUAAUCAAAAUUCUUCCUUUUUUAGAAGAUGCACUUUCCAGUUAUCACACAGGUGUUCUGCUAUCUGGUGCUGCUGUCCUGCUGUUGUUAUGUGUGAUUUUGUCAAUAGCAAUAGCCAUUUGCAUGACAAGUCAAGCAGAAAGACAGAGAGGUAGGCCUAAUUUAAUGUUCU